GACGAACGCUGGCGGCGUGCCUAAUACAUGCAAGUAGAACGCACAGUUUAUACCGUAGCUUGCUACACCAUAAACUGUGAGUUGCGAACGGGUGAGUAACGCGUAGGUAACCUGCCUGGUAGCGGGGGAUAACUAUUGGAAACGAUAGCUAAUACCGCAUAAUAUUGAUUAUUGCAUGAUAAUUGAUUGAAAGAUGCUAUUGCAUCACUACCAGAUGGCCCUGCGUUGUAUUAGCUAGUAGGUGAGGUAACGGCUCACCUAGGCCACGAUACAUAGCCGACCUGGGAGGGUGAUCGGCCACACUGGGACUGAGACACGGCCCAGACUCCUACGGGAGGCAGCAGUAGGGAAUCUUCGGCAAUGGACGAAAGUCUGACCGAGCAACGCCGCGUGAGUGAAGAAGGGUGUCGGAUCGUGAAGCUCUGUUGUAAGAGAAGAACGGGUGUGGGAGUGGAAAGUUCACACUGUGACGGUAUCUUACCAGAAAGGGACGGCUAACUACGUG
rnacentral:rRNA from 1 species